GUGCUCACUGUGGGAGCACAUAUACAAAAAUUGGAAUGAUACAGAGAAGAUUAACAUGGCACCUUCCUGCACAAGGAUGACAUGCAAAUUUGUGAAGUGUUCCAUAUUUUU
ensembl:snRNA U6 U6 spliceosomal RNA